UACGAAGGGGGCUAGCGUUGCUCGGAAUCACUUGGGCGUAAAGCGCACGUAGGCGGCUUUCUAAGUCAGGGGUGAAAUUCCUGGAGCUCAACUCCAGAACUGCCUUUGAUACUGGAGAGCUUGAGUCCGGGAGAGGUGAGUGGAACUCCGAGUGUAGAGGUGAAAUUCGUAGAUAUUCGGAAGAACACCAGUGGCGAAGGCGGCUCACUGGCCCGGUACUGACGCUGAGGUGCGAAAGCGUGGGGAGCAAACAGG
rnacentral:rRNA from 1 species